GUAGUCUCGCACAGAUGCAUAUCAAUAAGCGGAGGAAAAGAAACUAACAAGGAUUCCCCUAGUAACGGCGAGUGAAGCGGGAAGAGCUCAAAUUUGAAAUCUUAAAGGGUUUCCCUUUACGAAUUGUAGUUUAAAGAAGUGUUUUCUGUUGAGGUUUUGGUAAAAGUUCUUUGGAAUAGGACAUCAUAGAGGGUGAGAAUCCCGUAUUUGACCUUUACUUUCAACUUUGUGAUACACUUUCAAAGAGUCGGAUUGUUUGGGAAUGCAGUCCAAAAUGGGUGGUAAAUUUCAUCUAAAGCUAAAUAUUGGCGAGAGACCGAUAGCGAACAAGUACCGUGAGGGAAAGAUGAAAAGAACUUUGAAAAGAGAGUUAAACAGUACGUGAAAUUGUCAAAAGGGAAGCGUUUGACACCAGUGUUGUUUUUCUGAAAAUCAAUUAAAGAACUGUUUAUGCUAAGUUGUUUAGACUUUAUCAGCUAACUGUUUAGUUUUGAGCUUUUCUUUAAUGCACUUUUCAGUUAACAAGUCAACAUCAAUUUCUUUUGCUGUAAAAAAGCUUGAGGAAGGUGGCUUGAGAUUCGUCUUAAGUGUUUAUAGCCUCUUGCCUAUGCAGUCGGAGAGAUUGAGGUCUGCAGCGUAGAUCCUUCGGGGCUAAAUGCAUUUGUGCUAAGUUAUAGCAUUUCAUAGACAACUUGUUGACUAUGAUUUGUCUUGUAGCUUACUCGCUUAUGUUAUUUUACCUACGCUUAGGAUGUUGACAGCAGUAUAGACUGU
rnacentral:rRNA from 1 species